UACAGAGGGUGCAAGCGUUAAUCGGAUUUACUGGGCGUAAAGGGCGCGUAGGUGGUUAUGUUAGUAAGAUGUGAAAGCCCCGGGCUUAACCUGGGAACUGCGUCUUAAACUGCAUAGCUGGAGUACAAUAGAGGGUAGUGGAAUUUCCGGUGUAGCGGUGAAAUGCGUAGAUAUCGGAAGGAACACCAGUGGCGAAGGCGGCUACCUGGAUUGAUACUGACACUGAGGCGCGAAAGCGUGGGGAGCAAACAGG
rnacentral:rRNA from 1 species